UGAGUGUAAUUCGACUGGUCUUUCCUUAAACUACUAUUGGGUAAUGCACCAUCUGAAUCAUGUAUAAGUUAAAGGAACGCAACUGGUUAAUCAUAAGUUUAAACAGUUACUAUGAUCCUCUUAGUGAUUCAGCCAUCAAUGAGUAAGUUGAGAUGUCUUGCUGUAUUGAUUUCUCUGUUUGCAGACUCUUAUAAAAGAUCGAAAAUGGAAAAUUUCCUGAUUUUGAAGAUUAAAUAAUUGCGGACUAUGUUAAAAUUAGUAGAUGUUUGUGCUCAACCAGAGUUCAAAAUUUAAGAUUUACUAGAUGUUUGGGUUCUUUUCUUUCUUUCUCUAAUUAGAUAUAGCAUUUAGCCCUGGGCUUCAAGUUUCACUAACUUCCAUUGGCUUGGAAGUUUCCUUCCAUAUUGUAAUCUGCAAAAAAAAAAAAAAAAGGAAAUGCCAACAGUAGAAUGUACACUUGUGGAGAUACACUUUUUUCUUUUCUUAAUGUCUCUGUUUUUGUGCUAUCGGGAGGAGUUAGUUAUAAAAGAGUGCUUUCCUGAUUUAUAUCUUAUAUAUUCUGUGCUUCCGUUUCUUAAGUUCAGUGCUUUUCACCACAUAAUAUGUUUGUUUAUGGUAAACUGUAAAAUUUCAGUUUACUCUCACCAGUCCAUGUGGAUUCUUUCAUAUGUUUUUUUUUGUAUACUUGCAGUAUUGAUGAUGGAUUCCCAAUUGUUACUCUUAAUUUUGAAGAUUCCAUCUUUUUGACAGUUUAUCCUCACGAUUAUAUCUUCCAAUUUCUUGAAGAAAUGUGGUGUUUUGGUUGGCAGAAUGGAGGGAUGCAAACUAAGGAUGGAAUGCAAUUGACUCUUUUGGGAGAUUUAGUUCUUUCAAAUAAAUUGGUUAUAUAUGAUAUUGAGAACCAAGUCAUUGGAUGGACUGAAUACAACUGCUCGUCAGGCAUCAAGGUGAGGGAUGAAGUGACUGGAGUUACUUACAGUGUUGAGACUCACAAUCUUUCAAGGUCAUCGUGUUUGAGCCUCGGAAGAAUUCUGACAUUGUUGUCAAUACUAAUUGUCAUACUGCACAAUUUUGUUCCAUAAAUUUUGGUAACGUUGGGUGGCUAUAGCAUUCAUCUAUUAUGUAGGACCCUAAUUUUUAUAUAUGAUGCGUGUCUUGUCUUCGAUUUAUGUAAUUACAAGUUUUAAACAUAAUUUCAUUCUGCAAGUAGUAUCUUCA